GUGUGUUAGUGGAAGCGUCUGGAAAGGCGCGCGAUACAGGGUGACAGCCCCGUACACAAAAAUGCACAUGCUGUGAGCUCGAUGAGUAGGGCGGGACACGUGGUAUCCUGUCUGAAUAUGGGGGGACCAUCCUCCAAGGCUAAAUACUCCUGACUGACCGAUAGUGAACCAGUACCGUGAGGGAAAGGCGAAAAGAACCCCGGCGAGGGGAGUGAAAAAGAACCUGAAACCGUGUACGUACAAGCAGUGGGAGCACGCUUAGGCGUGUGACUGCGUACCUUUUGUAUAAUGGGUCAGCGACUUAUAUUCUGUAGCAAGGUUAACCGAAUAGGGGAGCCGAAGGGAAACCGAGUCUUAACUGGGCGUUAAGUUGCAGGGUAUAGACCCGAAACCCGGUGAUCUAGCCAUGGGCAGGUUGAAGGUUGGGUAACACUAACUGGAGGACCGAACCGACUAAUGUUGAAAAAUUAGCGGAUGACUUGUGGCUGGGGGUGAAAGGCCAAUCAAACCGGGAGAUAGCUGGUUCUCCCCGAAAGCUAUUUAGGUAGCGCCUCGUGAAUUCAUCUCCGGGGGUAGAGCACUGUUUCGGCAAGGGGGUCAUCCCGA
rnacentral:rRNA from 1 species